rnacentral:rRNA from 1 species
AGAGUUUGAUCCUGGCUCAAGAUGAACGCUAGCUACAGGCUUAACACAUGCAAGUCGAGGGGCAGCAUGGGAUUAGCUUGCUAAUCCUGAUGGCGACCGGCGCACGGGUGCGUAACGCGUAUCCAACCUGCCCUCUACUCCGGAACAGCCCGUCCAAAGGCGGAUUAAUGCCGGAUGGUGUCAGAUGCCCGCAUGGGCUUGUGACUAAAGGCAACGGUAGAGGAUGGGGAUGCGACUGAUUAGCUUGUUGGCGGGGUAACGGCCCACCAAGGCAACGAUCAGUAGGGGUUCUGAGAGGAAGGUCCCCCACAUUGGAACUGAGACACGGUCCAAACUCCUACGGGAGGCAGCAGUGAGGAAUAUUGGUCAAUGGGCGAGAGCCUGAACCAGCCAAGUAGCGUGCGGGAAGACGGCCCUAUGGGUUGUAAACCGCUUUUGAUUGGGAACAAAGAGCGCCACGUGUGGUGCGUUGCGUGUACCUUUCGAAUAAUCAUCGGCUAAUUCCGUGCCAGCAGCCGCGGUAAUACGGAAGAUGCGAGCGUUAUCCGGAUUUAUUGGGUUUAAAGGGAGCGUAAGCGGGCUGUUAAGUCAGCGGUCAAAUGUCAUGGCCCAACCUUGGCAUGCCGUUGAUACUGGCGGUCUUGAGUUCACACAAGGAAGGUGGAAUUCAUCGUGUACCGGUGAAAUGCUUAUAUAUGACGAAUAACUCCGAUUGCGAAGGCAGCCUUCUGGGGUGUUACUGACGCUGAGCUCGAAAGUGCGGGAAUCAAACAGGAUUAGAUACCCUGGUAGUCCGCUCCGCAAACGAUGAGCGCCCGUCAUUGGCGACACAUAGUCAGUGACAAUGGGAAUCCGUUAGCGCUCCACCUGGGGAGUACGCCGGCAACGGUGAAACUCAAAGGAAUUGACAGGGGCCCGCACAAGCGGAGGAACAUGUGGUUUAAUUCGAUGAUACGCGAGGAACCUUACCCGGGCUUGAAUUGCAGAGGAAGGAACUGGAGACAGUGACGCCCUUCGGGGCCUCUGUGAAGGUGCUGCAUGGUCGUCGUCAGCUCGUGCCGUGAGGUGUCGGCUUAAGUGCCAUAACGAGCGCAACCCUCGCUGUCAGUUGCCAUCAGUUAAAGCUGGGCUCUUUGGCGGGACUGCCAUCGCAAGAUGUGAGGAAGGUGGGGAUGACGUCAAAUCAGCACGGCCCUUACGUCCGGGGCUACACACGUGUUACAAUGGGGGGUACAGAGCGUUGCUUUCACGCGAGUGAUUGCGGACCGCAAAAACCCUUCUCAGUUCGGACUGGAGUCUGCAACCCGACUCCACGAAGCUGGAUUCGGUAGUAAUCGCGCAUCAGCCAUGGCGCGGUGAAUACGUUCCCGGCCCUUGCACACACCGCCCGUC